UGGGGAAUCUUGCACAAUGGGCGCAAGCCUGAUGCAGCAACGCCGCGUGCGGGAAGACGGCCCUAGGGUUGUAAACCGCUUUCAGGAGGGAAAGAAAUGACGGUACCUCCAGAAGAACGGUGCGGCCAACUACGUGCCAGCAGCCGCGUGACACGUAGGCACCAAGCGUUAUCCGGAUUUAUUGGGCGUAAAGAGCUCGUAGGCGGUUCGGUAAGUCGGGUGUGAAAUCCAAGGCUCAACCUUGGGACGCACCCGAUACUGCUGUGACUCGAGUGCAGUAGGGGAGCAGGGAAUUCCUGGUGUAGCGGUGAAAUGCGCAGAUAUCAGGAGGAACACCAGUGGCGAAGGCGCUGCUCUGGGCUGUAACUGACGCUGAGGAGCGAAAGCAUGGGU
rnacentral:rRNA from 1 species